AUCCUGGCUCAGAUUGAACGCUGGCGGCAGGCCUAACACAUGCAAGUCGAGCGGAUGAAGGGAGCUUGCUCCUGGAUUCAGCGGCGGACGGGUGAGUAAUGCCUAGGAAUCUGCCUGGUAGUGGGGGAUAACGUCCGGAAACGGGCGCUAAUACCGCAUACGUCCUGAGGGAGAAAGUGGGGGAUCUUCGGACCUCACGCUAUCAGAUGAGCCUAGGUCGGAUUAGCUAGUUGGUGGGGUAAAGGCCUACCAAGGCGACGAUCCGUAACUGGUCUGAGAGGAUGAUCAGUCACACUGGAACUGAGACACGGUCCAGACUCCUACGGGAGGCAGCAGUGGGGAAUAUUGGACAAUGGGCGAAAGCCUGAUCCAGCCAUGCCGCGUGUGUGAAGAAGGUCUUCGGAUUGUAAAGCACUUUAAGUUGGGAGGAAGGGCAGUAAGUUAAUACCUUGCUGUUUUGACGUUACCAACAGAAUAAGCACCGGCUAACUUCGUGCCAGCAGCCGCGGUAAUACGAAGGGUGCAAGCGUUAAUCGGAAUUACUGGGCGUAAAGCGCGCGUAGGUGGUUCAGCAAGUUGGAUGUGAAAUCCCCGGGCUCAACCUGGGAACUGCAUCCAAAACUACUGAGCUAGAGUACGGUAGAGGGUGGUGGAAUUUCCUGUGUAGCGGUGAAAUGCGUAGAUAUAGGAAGGAACACCAGUGGCGAAGGCGACCACCUGGACUGAUACUGACACUGAGGUGCGAAAGCGUGGGGAGCAAACAGGAUUAGAUACCCUGGUAGUCCACGCCGUAAACGAUGUCGACUAGCCGUUGGGAUCCUUGAGAUCUUAGUGGCGCAGCUAACGCGAUAAGUCGACCGCCUGGGGAGUACGGCCGCAAGGUAAAACUCAAAGGAAUUGACGGU
rnacentral:rRNA from 1 species